AGAAUAAUAUGUAUACAGAGAUAUCUUUAUUGCAAAGGGUAACAUGGAAUAAGAAACAUGAGAGAAUACACUGAGGAAAUAGACUGAAAAGAGAGAUCACUUUGCUAAAUGGUACUCAAGAUAUUGUUAAUUAAAAGUUAUAAAAUUUAUGGCAGGGUGUUUUAGUCAGCUUUUUUACUUCUGUGACUAAAAGACCCCACAAGAACAAUUGUAGAGGAGGAAUAGUUUAUUUGGGGGCUCACAGUUUCAAAGGUCUCAGUUCACAGACAGCCAGUUCCAUUCCUCAGGGCUUGAAGUAAGGCUGAACAUCAUAGUGGAAAAGUGUGGUAGAGGGAAGUGGCUCACAUGAUGAGCUGAAAGCAGAGAGACUCCACUCUCCAGAUACAAAAUAUACACCCCAAUGGCAUGCUUGCUCCCUGUGACCUUCAGUCACGCCCUACCUGUCUUCAGUUACCACUCGGUUAAUUCCAUCAGAGGAUUAAUUCACUGAUUGGGUUAAGGCUUUCAUAACCCAAUCAUUUCUCCUCUAAAC
rnacentral:lncRNA from 1 species